CUUCCUUACUCUGCCUUGGAUGUGGCAAACCUUUGAUAGUAUUUUCCGAAAAUUGUGCGAACAGUUUUUAGCCUGUUCCUGUCCGACCCCACUAUUGCUCAGACAUCAGACCUCUGCGAUGGCUUCCUCGGGUUGGUUUUGAUCACACACCACCUAGGCAUCCCGGCAGCUUGGAGCCACCUGUAGCCACACACAGAGCGGAGCGACAGGCGGCAUCCGUCCGGCGGAGACGCUGCACCCCACCCUUCAGCCUUACCUGUCCGGCCCGAGCCGGGGCCCCGCCUGGGAAUGGGGCACAGCAGGGGGGAGGAGAGGAGCCCGCUGGGCUAGCCAGGGGGAAGGAGCCAAGUCACCGCUGCUCUCCUGGGAGGGAGCCGGAGUCUCUGCAGCCCUCCCUGCGCUCCGCGGCAAAUGUGGCAGCGGGGCAGCCAUCGCGGCGGCGCCGGCGGCUCCUCCUCUAAGAGGAGAAUCUAUAAUGGAAAUUUUACAGAUGAGGAAACAGAAGCAAAAAUACAUCAAGUGACUCACCCAGGGUUGCACAGAAUGGAAAAUGCUGCCUGCGCGUCAUUAUGGAUAACCUGAACUAUGAGUACUUCAGUCAGAGGAAUACACUAACAUUCAAGAGUAACCUUCUUAAUCCUACUUCACUGAACAAGUGCAUUUUAAAAACCAUGCUGAAGGUAGAAUAAAAAGCAAGUUGCUGCUUGAACUUCAAAUCAAAAUACAAUUUCAUCAGUUGCAAGGACCUUACUUAUACGUCAUCCAUUGGCCUCACAUGACUUUACCAUAAAUGUUCCAAUAAAUUGCUUUGCUACAUGUCUAUCACUAAACUGGGCAGUAGUAACUCUGCAUCACUCCACUUCUUGCCUCUUCUUGGUUCUUGUUCUGCUAAGCCAGAGGUGAGCAAACUACAGCCUGUGGGACCCUCCUGCCCGGCCCCUGAGCUCCUAGCCUGGGAGGCUGACCCCGGCCCCUCCCCUGCUGUUCCCCCUCCCCUGCAGCCUCAGCUCACUGCACUGCCAGCAGUGGCGCUGACCCAUGGUACUGCGCGGUGGCAUGGCUGGUUCCAGCCGGGCAGCACGGCUGCCUGUCCUGGUGCUAUGGUGCUCCAGGCAGCGCGG